UUAAGUAGGUGUAUUAAGGGACAAUUUUAUUUAAAAUUUCGCGCGUGAUGUAGCGAGAUAUCUCGAUCCGAAAGUAUCGAUGGAAAAGCGUUGCUUACUUCAUAAUGGAGAAUCGCGAGCGUGCGGCAAGAUAGAUUUUGGCUGAAUUGCGACGCAUUUAAGUGAAAAUAAGAGGGAGUACGAAGAAUAUAAGUAGCAACAGCGAAAUAAGAGAGAAGGAAAAAGUCCGGGGCGGCAUCAAGUAACGGCAGAGAUAUCGAACGUAGUUGACGACAUCGACAAAUUGAGAGGAAAGGAGGUCUGAAAAUAAGGCAUCAAGUGUCACAAAAAACUAUAAUAAAAUCAACAAUUGACGACACCGACAAAUGGUGAGAGGAGGAGGCCUAGGAAAGGCAUCUGGCGCCGGUCAAGGAACUCUAAAGUCAACAUAUAUAGCUUGCAGUCAACGAUUGGCACAAGACAUUCAAAAUGCAAAAUGUCAUGCGUUUAAAUGCCGGGAGUGUCGUAUAAUGUAAAAUCGCGCGCUUAAGGGAUUACAGUUUAAAAGUAUCGCGUGUUUUGGUGCGGGAGUCUAAAAUCUAAAAUGUCGAGCGUUUUAGUGCGGGAGUAUCGUUUGAAGUAUCGCGUGUGUAAAUUAAAGACAAUUGACAUUUGACAAUCCUGAGAGGAGGAAUGGGCCUCGGGCGCCAGCGGAGCAACCUUGCGAUCAACGUAGCUACGAUGCAGUGACUCAACUCCGCUGUUGUGCAUCGGUUGGUGA